CCUGCGCGGAAGAUGUAACGGGGCUAAACCAUGCACCGAAGCUGCGGCAGCGACACUAUGUGUUGUUGGGUAGGGGAGCGUUCUGUAAGCCUGUGAAGGUGUGCUGUGAGGCAUGCUGGAGGUAUCAGAAGUGCGAAUGCUGACAUAAGUAACGAUAAAGCGGGUGAAAAGCCCGCUCGCCGGAAGACCAAGGGUUCCUGUCCAACGUUAAUCGGGGCAGGGU
rnacentral:rRNA from 1 species